rnacentral:rRNA from 1 species
GAUGAACGCUGACAGAAUGCUUAACACAUGCAAGUCAACUUGAAUUUGGGUUUUUAACUUAGGUUUGGGUGGCGGGCGGGUGAGUAACGCGUAAAGAACUUGCCUCACAGCUAGGGACAACAUUUGGAAACGAAUGCUAAUACCUAAUAUUAUGAUAAUAGGGCAUCCUAUAAUUAUGAAAGCUAUAAGCGCUGUGAGAGAGCUUUGCGUCCCAUUAGCUAGUUGGAGAGGUAACGGCUCACCAAGGCGAUGAUGGGUAGCCGGCCUGAGAGGGUGAUCGGCCACAAGGGGACUGAGACACGGCCCUUACUCCUACGGGAGGCAGCAGUGGGGAAUAUUGGACAAUGGACCGAGAGUCUGAUCCAGCAAUUCUGUGUGCGCGAUGAAGUUUUUCGGAAUGUAAAGUGCUUUCAGUUGGGAAGAAACAAAUGACGGUACCAACAGAAGAAGUGACGGCUAAAUACGUG